GUGCACCAGGCGCGAAAACUUCACACUGUGCGAAAGCACGAUGAGGGAAUCCCAAGUGCUUGCACGUAAGUGUAAGCUGUUUCUCUGUCUAAAACGCAGAGAGAGUAAGGGCUGGGUAAGACGGGUGCCAGCCGCCGCGGUACUACCUGCAGCUCAAGUGGUGACCGUUAUUAUUGGGCCUAAAACGUCCGUAGCCGGUUUAAUAAAUGCCUGGGUAAAUCGUGGAGCCCAACUUCACGAAUUCCGGGUAGACUGCCGAGCUCGGGACCGGAAGAGGGAGAGGGUACUUCAGGGGUAGGGGUGAAAAUUUCCUUUCCAUUAACGCUUUGCGCGAAGCGGAAAGGGUUAUCACAAUCCUGUAAUCCCUGGAGGACCACCCGUGGCGAAGGCGCUCUCCUAAGACGGUCGACGGUGAGGGACGAAAGCCAGGGGAGCAAACCGGAUUAGAUA
rnacentral:rRNA from 1 species